GUGAGUAACCUGCCCUUGACUCUGGGAUAACUUCGGGAAACCGUGGCUAAUACCGGAUAUGAGAUGCGACCGCAUGGUCUGUGUCUGGAAAGUUUUUCGGUCAAGGAUGGACUCGCGGCCUAUCAGCUUGUUGGUGAGGUAAUGGCUCACCAAGGCGUCGACGGGUAGCCGGCCUGAGAGGGCGACCGGCCACACUGGGACUGAGACACGGCCCAGACUCCUACGGGAGGCAGCAGUGGGGAAUAUUGCACAAUGGGCGAAAGCCUGAUGCAGCGACGCCGCGUGAGGGAUGAAGGCCUUCGGGUUGUAAACCUCUUUCAGUAGGGAAGAAGCGAAAGUGACGGUACCUGCAGAAGAAGCACCGGCUAACUACGUGCCAGCAGCCGCGGUAAUACGUAGGGUGCAAGCGUUGUCCGGAAUUAUUGGGCGUAAAGAGCUCGUAGGCGGUUUGUCGCGUCUGGUGUGAAAACUCAAGGCUCAACCUUGAGCUUGCAUCGGGUACGGGCAGACUAGAGUGUGGUAGGGGUGACUGGAAUUCCUGGUGUAGCGGUGGAAUGCGCAGAUAUCAGGAGGAACACCGAUGGCGAAGGCAGGUCACUGGGCCACUACUGACGCUGAGGAGCGAAAGCAUGGGGAGCGAACAGGAUUAGAUACCCUGGUAGUCCAUGCCGUAAACGUUGGGCACUAGGUGUGGGGCUCAUUCCACGAGUUCCGCGCCGCAGCUAACGCAUUAAGUGCCCCGCCUGGGGAGUACGGCCGCAAGGCUAAAACUCAAAGGAAUUGACGGUGGCCCGCACAAGCGGCGGAGCAUGCGGAUUAUUUCGAUGCAUCGCNAAGAACCUUACCAAGGCUUGACAUACACCGGAAUCAU
rnacentral:rRNA from 1 species